rnacentral:rRNA from 1 species
GAGUUUGAUCCUGGCUCAGAAUGAACGCUGGCGGCGUGCCUAACACAUGCAAGUCGAGCGCGAAAGUGACUUCGGUCGCGAGUAGAGCGGCGAACGGGUGAGUAACACGUGGACAACCUGCCCAGUAGCGGGGGACAACUCGGGGAAACUUGAGCUAAUACCGCAUACGCUCCUUCGGCCACGGCCGAUUGAGGAAAGAUCGCCUAUCCUUGGAAGCGGUCGCUAUUGGAGGGGUCCGCGGCUGAUUAGCUAGUUGGUGAGGUAACGGCUCACCAAGGCGACGAUCAGUAGCCGGCCUGAGAGGGCGAUCGGCCACACUGGAACUGAGACACGGUCCAGACUCCUACGGGAGGCAGCAGUGGGGAAUAUUGGACAAUGGGGGCAACCCUGAUCCAGCAACGCCGCGUGGAGGAUGAAGGCCUUCGGGUUGUAAACUCCUGUCAGGUGGAGCGAAAAGCGUCGGUGAAUAGCCGGCGUCUAUGACGGUACCACCAGAGGAAGCCCCGGCUAACUCCGUGCCAGCAGCCGCGGUAAUACGGAGG